AUCCAGAUGACAAGUCUCAGAUUGGACGAAACGCGCGUCCUGGAU
rfam:Schistosoma curassoni strain Dakar, Senegal genome assembly, scaffold: SCTD_scaffold0000433